UACGAAGGGUGCAAGCGUUAAUCGGAAUUACUGGGCGUAAAGGGUGCGUAGGCGGCUCGGUAAGUCGGAUGUGAAACCUCCAGGCUCAACCUGGAGACGCCAUCUGAUACUGCCGUGGCUUGAGUCCGGUAGAGGAGCAGGGAAUUCCUGGUGUAGCGGUGAAAUGCGCAGAUAUCAGGAGGAACACCAGCGGCGAAGGCGCUGCUCUGGGCCGGUACUGACGCUGAGGAGCGAAAGCGUGGGGAGCGAACAGG
rnacentral:rRNA from 1 species